rnacentral:piRNA from 1 species
UGAACACAUGGAUCUAACAGCUCAAC